GGACCCGUAGCUCAGCGGUCAGAGCAUCUGAUUCCAGCUUGUAACCUUUACUAGCAAUGGAGUAAUCCACUCCAAUAAAUAGUAAAUGCAACUGUAUCCAGAAGGUCAUCCGUUCAAAUCGGGUCGGGUUCA